rnacentral:rRNA from 1 species
CCUACGGGAGGCAGCAGUAGGGAAUCUUCCACAAUGGACGAAAGCCUGAUGCAGCAACGCCGCGUGAGUGAAGAAGGCUUUCGGCUCGUAAAGCUCUGUCGGUAGGGAAGAAGGAUUUAGGUUAUAUCUGUCCUUUCUUUGACGUUACUCACUUAGAAAGUCCCGGCUAACUCCGUGCCAGCAGCCGCGGUAAUACGUAGGUGGCAAGCGUUGUCCGGAUUUAUUGGGCGUAAAGGGAGUGCAGGCGGUUCAAUAAGUCUGAUGUGAAAGCCUGGGGCUCAACCGGAGAAUUGCAUCAGAAACUGUGGAGCUGGAGUGCAGAAGAGGAGAGUGGAACUCCAUGUGUAGCGGUGGAAUGCGUAGAUAUAUGGAGGAACACCAGUGGCGAAGGCGGCCCUCUGGGCGGUAACUGACGCUGAGGCUCGAAAGCAUGGGGAGCGAACAGGAUUAGAUACCCGAGUAGUC